UGGAGAUGGACAUGCUGUUAAAUUUUUUCCUGGAGCUUGAAAUCCUUGAAGUGCUUACCAUGUUUUUUUUUUGAAAUGGAAGUGCUUACCAUGUACUCUCUUUUAUAAACUAAAACACCUGUGGCUAGCAAAGGAAUUGGGAGGUUGUCUUUGUGAUCAUCUACUCUUACAAGUAGCAACUGCUGAUAUACAAUUGCAGCCUUGAUCCUUUUAUGUGUCACACCAACCGUUAUUUUUCUGAACUUAGUUUCAUAACAGCUUGUCCUGUACAUGGAUUUUGGCAAGCAAUGCUUUAUUUGUGGAUCCAUUCAGCAGCGAGGUUAUGUUAUCUGUAUCUAGUCUUAUUUAUUUCUGAAAAACCUGCAUUUUGUAGGACACCUAUGAGACUGGUUCAGAAAAACAGUAAGUUAAAGGAUGAGGUACGGUCACUGAAGGUACACUUUUUUUUACUGUUUUUUCUUUGACUGAAGGUACACUCAUCUUGCUAACUAAGUUUUUCACUAUUUGUGUGGAGUACGACUAUGCAUUGUGAAUUUGUGAUGUUCGCUCUAUCUGAAGAAACACCUUAUAUUCGUAUUGCACUAUUCUUUCCCUUGAAUUAGGCAUCGCAAAGUCAGCGCCAAUUUUCAUCUAAAUUAUGGUCUGAAAUCAUGCACGCCAUUAUCAUUGCUUAUUGCUUACUCUAUUUUUGGUUGGAUUCACUACUCAGUGCUCACUCUCUGUUGUUGGUCGAUUCUAUUGUGGUAGAAGCAACGCGGUGCUUAACGAUGGGGUGCUGGGGCGGAAGCAAUUGGAUACUCUGAGCUGGAGCAGAUGGUAUGCCGUGCUCAGCGACCACACGCCGGAGUGCGAGGGAUGAGCCAGAUGCUGGAGCAGAGACGAUGUCGGAUCACGGCCGUGGCGACCGAUCAGCUGGAUCACGGCGCAGACGAUGGACUAGUUUAGCAGAAUUCAAAUUCGUGUAUCAAGGGUAGAAAUGUCCAGCCAUUUCAUUUGCUUGUCCGCUUUACUUUGUUGCAUGAUCCAAAGAACUAGAUGGACUUGACUUUAGAUCACGGGCAGUUUAGUCUUGGCACUUAAUUAGGAUGGCUAAAUUAUAUUUGAGUUUCAUUUGAUGGUUUUUUACUGUGAGAAUUAUGAUUUUUAUGAAUCUACAUAUUAUAUGUAUGGUUUU
rnacentral:lncRNA from 1 species